rnacentral:rRNA from 1 species
UACGAAGGGGGCAAGCGUUGUUCGGAAUUACUGGGCGUAAAGGGCGCGCAGGCGGCCGUUCAAGUCAGAUGUGAAAGCCCCGGGCUCAACCUGGGAACCGCGCUUGAGACUGGCAUGCUCGAGUUCGGGAGAGGAUGGUGGAAUUCCCAGUGUAGAGGUGAAAUUCGUAGAUAUUGGGAAGAACACCGAUGGCGAAGGCAGCCAUCUGGACCGACACUGACGCUGAGGCGCGAAAGCGUGGGGAGCAAACAGG